rnacentral:misc_RNA from 1 species
ACAGCCAUCCAUCUCUAAACCAAAAAAAAUUUAGGUCUUGAGCCAGACACUAUUUUUUUUUCUUACAGGACUUGAACAUGGACCAACUCAAGAUCAGUUGCACUUCUCUCUGUUUCUGCAUUUACACAGGAACUCUUCUACCCCGGUAACGAUCCAUGAAUGAUCUAACAAAUGGUUGUUGGAACACCCAGCCAAGAAUAGGUAUCCUCUGAAGAAAGACAGCCAGUGUUGGCCAGAAGCCACUGAAGAGUACAAUGAACCCGUAUGCUUCCAAAAUCAUGCCAAGAAUUGGCCAUCCUAUGACAACAAAGAAGAAGCCAGCACCGAAUGACAUAGUUCCCUUAAAAUUUUGACGUUUCAUGAAGAACUGCAUAGUGGACUUUGGCCCAAUAGUUAGACUCACUCCUGAGAUGAAAAGGAUAUUUCCCAUUGCAAGUAAUCCCUUGUCAAAGAAGAAAAU